UACGAAGGGGGCUAGCGUUGCUCGGAAUCACUGGGCGUAAAGGGUGCGUAGGCGGGUUUUUAAGUCAGAGGUGAAAUCCUGGAGCUCAACUCCAGAACUGCCUUUGAUACUGAAAGUCUUGAGUAUGGGAGAGGUGAGUGGAACUGCGAGUGUAGAGGUGAAAUUCGUAGAUAUUAGCUAGAACACCAGUGGCGAAGGCGGCCAACUGGUCCGGUACUGACGCUGAGGUGCGAAAGCGUGGGGAGCAAACAGGG
rnacentral:rRNA from 1 species